UACAACUCACCUGCCGAAGCAACUAGCCCUGAAAAUGGAUGGCGCUCUAGCGUCGUGCCUAUACCGGGCCGUCAACGGUAAAGUGGGCAUCUGACCUCUGGUCAGAGCCGUUAAGCCUUGACGAGUAGGAGGGUCGCGGCGGUGUGCGCAGAAGGGUCGUGGCGUGAGCCCGCCUGGAGCCGCCGUCGGCGCAGAUCUUGGUGGUAGUAGCAAAUACUCUAGCGAGGGCCUGGAGGACUGACGUGGAGAAGGGUUUCUUGUGAACAGCCGUUGCACAAGAGUCAGUCGACCCUAAGCCCUAGGAGAAAUCCGAUGUCGAUGGCAGCUAGACACGGUCUUGUAUUUACAACAUGCGUUGUUCAUUUUAAAGCUCCUGUCGGGCAAAAGGGAAUCCGGUUCCUAUUCCGGAACCUGGCUGCGUGACCGUUUCUCUGCGGGCACUCGCCUGCGAGGGCUCGUUGGGGUAACCCAAACUGGCCCGGAGACGCCGGCGGGGGGUCUGGAAAGAGUUCUCUUUUCUUUAUAAGCGUUCGAGUACCCUGGAAUCCUAUAGCAGGGAGAUAGGGUUUGGAACGCGAAGAGCACCGCAGUUGCGGCGGUGUCCGGACUUCCCCCCCGGACCUUGAAAAUCNGGGUGCGAGCUACGCGGAAAUCGCGCCAGAUCGUACCCAUAUCCGCAGCAGGUCUCCAAGGUUAAGAGCCUCUAGUCGAUAGAAUAAUGUAGGUAAGGGAAGUCGGCAANNUGGAUCCGUAACUUCGGGACAAGGAUUGGCUCUGAGGAUCGGGGCGUGUCGGGCUUGGUCGGGAAGCGGGUCAGCGCCAACGUGCCGGGCCUGGGCGAGGGGAAUGCGGUGUUUUGGAGCAAUCCAGGCAUCUCUGCGAUCCGAGCUCGGUCCCGUGCCUUGGCCUCCCGCGGAUCUUCCUUGCUGCGGGGUGUCGGCUGUUCUGGUCGCGGCUGGGCUUCUGCCCGCCGUGGACGGGUCGAAUUUGUCCCUUCGGCCGCCAUUCAACGAUCAACUCAGAACUGGCACGGACUGGGAGAAUCCGACUGUCUAAUUAAAGCAAAGCAUUGCGAUGGCUCUAGCUGAGUGUUUACGCAAUGUGAUUUCUGCCCAGUGCUCUGAAUGUCAACGUGAAGAAAUUCAAGCAAGCGCGGGUAAACGGCGGGAGUAACUAUGACUCUCUUAAGGUAGCCAAAUGCCUCNNCAUCUAAUUAGUGACGCGCAUGAAUGGAUUAACGAGAUUCUCACUGUCCCUAUCUACUAUCUAGCGAAACCACUGCCAAGGGAACGGGCUUGGAAAAAUUAGCGGGGAAAGAAGACCCUGUUGAGCUUGACUCUAGUCUGGNACUGUAAGGAGACAUGAGAGGUGUAGCAUAAGUGGGAGACGGUGGGUCACAAGCUUGCUGUUCGACGGUGAAAUACCACUACUUUCAUCGUUUCCUUACUUACUCGGAUAGGCGGAGAGCGUGCCCGUCUAGGGAUUUCUCCCAGGCGGGCCGGUAUUCUCGCACCAAGCGUCCGAGGGUUGCCGGACAGCUGUCCGAGAGGGUGUGGGUCCGUGCGGGAAAGUGGCCGCCUUCGUAAGAGGAAAGUCGCUGACCCCCGGCCUGCACUGGAACGGGCUCUGCUCACCGGCAAACACUCCCUCGCGUGAUCCGAUUCGAGGACACAGCCAGGCGGGGAGUUUGACUGGGGCGGUACAUCUGUCAAAUGAUAACGCAGGUGUCCUAAGGCCAGCUCAGCGAGGACAGAAACCUCGCGUAGAGCAAAAGGGCAAAUGCUGGUUUGAUCCCGAUGUCCAGUACGCAUAGGGACUGCGAAAGCACGGCCUGUCGAUCCUUUUGGCUUGAAGAGAUUUCAGCAAGAGGUGU
rnacentral:rRNA from 1 species